GGUAGGAUUUUGACAACCGGUCCACCUCUGGGUUACCAGUUUUACAAGUUUGGCGAGUGCUAAGUUUACCUAGCGCAAGAAAUAGAAUAAAAACAGCACACCUCUUCUACUCGCUCGCUCUACUCGCGCAAAAGACAUAACACCAUGUGGAACAACACCUUCAUGGCAAGAUAAGGCGAAAGAGAAAAUAGGCAAAAGAUACUGAGACAGCUACAGAAAUUCUCCUCAAGCAAGUCCAGAGUAUGCUUUGGUCAGCUUGCCGAUCACCUCCUCCACCUUUUCCAGAUCUUUAUCAGCAAGAGGUUUCCAUUCCGUUAGGAACGCCACCAUCCUGUGCACCACCACCACCGGCGUCGUAGCGAUCCUGUUGUUGAACACCAUGUCGUUCCUUGUCUUCCACAGCACCCACAUGGCUCCUGCACAAACAUAGAUAAAGAGUUGUCUAGAUUUGUUUCUCAUAUCUCACAUUAUCUUUUCAGUUAAGUUCAAACAAGAUUGUGGGGUCCCCUCAGAGGCAAAGUUUCUUUAUAAAGUUCCAAAGAAAAACCGUAAUAGGGCAUUGAAAGAUUAUAUGAUCAGUUGAUUCUAACUUUUCGCACAGUUUACACUGUUCCGGGCUGACCAAUUCCUUUUUUUUUCAGCUACACCGCCGAUUGGAUUUUUUUUUCUGAAAAACCAUCCAUCCAUAGAAAGAUAUGGAUUUUUAGCGGCACUCUACAUUUCCCAAUGUGGACAGACUAUCUAUCACUCCACCAAAGGUCAUUGCUCUAUACAGGGAUUUUGGUUUAUAUCUGCCAGAUUUCUCUAGGACCCAGCACAUCUCGUCUCUAUUCUCUGUGAGCUCAAUAUUGUCUAGUUGUUCCACAAGUCUGCACAAUUCGUGCAACUCUACGGUAGUCAACGCUCUUCUAAACUGGAUCAGCCACCCCCUUCAUCUCUAGCUUCUUCCACUGUAAUUUCUGGGUUUGAGAAAAACUUGUACAACAAAUCAAACUAUUUUUAGGGGGCAAUCUCCCACCCAUACAUCUUCCUAGAAUCUGGUCUGGCUUCCACUUUUGACUUUCAUAACUCUACCUCUUUGAAACCAUUGUUUUAUCUCAAUCAGCCCCCUCCAGAACUGGGAUCCACAAGCUCUACGAAGUUGGAAAAUGCUUCUCUGGCCCAGGUAUUUUCGUUUGAGCAGCUCUAUACACAUGCUGUCAUCAUCCCUCUCCAGUCUAUCUAUCCACUUGGAUAACAGGCAAACAUUCAUAGCUCUAACAUCCAUGAAGCCCAGCCCUCCAAAAUCUUUGGGUCUGACUAGCGCUUCCCAUUUGAUCAUAUGAUAUUUCCUCUUCUUACACUUCCCUGCCAGAAGAACUUAGAGCAUAUAGUGUCUAGAAUCUGAUAAUUGUCCUCAUACAGCAAAUAAACACCCAUUGUAUACAUAAGGGUACUGGAAAGGCAGGAGUUAAUUAGUACAGUUUUUCCUCCUGAAGACAGUGUCAAUGUGUCACAUUUCCAUAUACCCAGUCUUCUCUUCGCUUUUUCUGCAAUGUAGCUCAAUUGCGCUUUAGUUAAUUUGAGGUCGCUAACUAGCAGGCUUAGAUAGGUAAUAGGUAGUGUGCCUAUGUUACAUCCAAACAGAUCCGCUAACUCUUGUUGAUCCUCAGGACCCAGCCUAAUCCCAAAAAUCUCACUCUUAUUGUAGUUGAUCUUCAUACCAGACAUAUUCUCAAAGUAGUAGAAUUUUUUAAUUUUAACUCUUUUUAAAAAUUAUUUUAAAAAUAACCCCUUCGGACAAAUAUUUUACCCUUUUUGGUUGCGCCGGCCAGCGUGGCGCGACAAAAUGACGUUGUCACACCACAUGCACUGGCGUGACAAGUCUGUAACGCUAGCGCAGGGAGGUGAUAUGGACUCCUCUUAUCACGCCACUGCGUGUGGCGUGAUAACGUGCUUCUGUCGCGCCACUUUGCACGGCGUGACAAGAGCCUACUCUAGUUUAAUUUACUCACUUUGGACCACUACAUAAAAUAGUAUUUGAACUUUAAAUGUUACAAAACUUGGCAUACACGAUAUAUGGUGUGAACAUUCCAUUUUAGUAACAUGUACAAGGCAAGUGCUACAUAUUUUAAAAUUUUUAAUUUCAAAGUAGGCUAUGUAUUAUCCCUAUAUCCCACAUGGGGCUCUUGAUCUCUAUAAAAUAGCAUUUAAAAUUUAAAUAUCAUGAAACUUGGCAUGCACACUGUAGAAAGUGUAAAGGUUCAAUUUUACUAACAUGUAGAAGGCCAAAUGCUACAUAUUUUGAAAUGCAUAAUUUCAAAGUAGACUAUGUAUUAUCCAUUUAUCUCUCUUAGGACAGCUUCUAAGUGUUAAAUAAAUUCGCUUCGACGUUUUCUUUCCUUCAGUUUUAUAACUUAAUUAACUCUAAAUAUUUUAAAAACUUUAAUAAGGCUACAUUAUAAGAUAUAUUUAUUUCAUUUUAACUAUAUUCAUUCCAUCAAUCAUUAUACAAUUGACCCUAUUCAAUUUUGAAUUAGCCUAUGGAUAUAACUAAGAUGUGACAUUCCUGCCAACAAAAACGAUGUGAUCAUAUCUUUAGAUUUAUUCAAUUUCUAUAUAUGCUUCCUGGCACAUACCCGUCAUGUGAGGUGUUGUUUAGAUAUCAAGUAGCGAUUUUUUUCGGGUUAAGCUACUUCGGCAGAAAUUUCAACACCGAGAAGACACAUUGCCUGAUGAAGCUUAUGAGUACUACCAUCUCACUACAGAUCAUACACCCACACCUUAACUAAUUGGUCACUAAUAUAAACUUAGUUCUAACAUCCAUCCAUUAGCGAUUUUUUUCGGGUUAAGCUACUUCGGCAGAAAUUUCAAAACCGAGAAGACACACUGCCUGAUGAAGCUUAUGAGUACUACCAUCUCACUACAGAUCAUACACCCACACCUUAACUAAUUGGUCACUAAUAUAAACUUAGUUCUAACAUCCAUCCAUUUGUGCAUGCACACUAUAGUACACUACGAUGUACUUCAAAGAACACACAGUUUCUAACUCAUUCAUGUUUAAUUCACUCGCGUAUCAUGUACUUCAUGUUCUUACAAUAUAUAUCAGGUUGGAUAGCAAAGUAGAUGGUGUAUCGUGUGAUCGAGAAGCUUCUCCACUUAAUCGAACUAUGUUGCAUGGGUGUUUCUAGCUAUCAUUAGACUAAUCCCAAUUUUCAUGGUUUCUAAUUUCAAAGAUGUCAUAUCAAAUGAAGAGAUAAUGAUACAACAAUCUACAGUGUAGUAUUAUAAUGUUAUUUCUUAGACAUCAUAAAUUAUGGAUUUCUAACACUUGUAUUUACAACUUAGUCAUAUUCAUUGGCCUAAUUCAAAAUUGAAUAAGGUCAAUUGUAUAAUGAUUGAUGGAAGCUUGUGCGCUCUUGAGGAUAUCUAGUAGGAGUGUGAAUAUAAUUAAAAUGAAAUAAAUAUAUUUUAUGAUGUCAUCUUAUUAGAGUUUUAAAAUAUUAAACUAAAGGAAAGAAAAGGCUGAAGUGAAUUUAUUUAGCACUUAGAAGCUGUCCUAAGAGAGAUAGAGGGAUAAUACAUAGCUUACACUUGGCUUUCUACGUGUCAGUAAAAUUGAACCUUUACACUUUCCACGGUGUGCAUGUCAAGUUUCGUGAUAUUUAAAUUUUAAAUGCUAUUUUAUAGAGAUACUCCCAAGUAGCCCCAUGUGGGAUAUAGGGAUAAUACAUAGCCAAUUUUGAAAUUAAAAAUUUUAAAAUAUGUAGCACUUGUCUUGUACGACUUGUCUUGUACGUGUUACUAAAUGGAAUGUUCAUACAUUAUAUAUCGUGCAUGUCAAGUUUCGUAACAUUUAAAGUUCAAAUAUUAUUUUAUUGAGAUGGCCCAAAGUGAGUAAAUUAAAUUAGAGUAGGCUCUUAUCAUGCCAUGCAAAGUGGUGCGACAGAACCACGUUGUCGUGCCACACGCAGUAUCGUGGUAAGAGGAGCCCAUGUCACCUCCCCACACUAGCAUGGCAGGCUUGUUAUACCAGUGCAUGUAGCGUGAUAACGUUAUUUUGUCACGCCACGCGGUCAAGCGCAACCAAAAGGGAUGGAAAUAUUUGUCAGGAGGAGUUAUUUUUAAAAUAUUAUUUAAAAAAGGUUAAAAUUAAAAAACAUCAAGCAGUAUAAGAUGAAUUUCAGGUUCCUCAAUGAUCUAUCCUCAUUCUUCACAAAACUGAUUGUGUCGUCCGCAUAAUGCAGGUGUGAUAGACCUCCGUCAACCAAACGCGGCACAAGCCCUGGAUAUCUCUAACUCUACAUGCUGAGCUCAACAUUACCAAUAAAGAAUCUCCCACGAGGUUGAAAAGUAGAGGGGAUAGUGAGUCUCCUUACCUCAGACCUUCGUAAGUCCUAAAGAACUCCCAUCUUUCACCAUUAAUGUCAAUUGCCACCCUCCUCCCUCUGCCCACCUGCAUAAUCCAACUAGUCCACCUGGGCGAGGUACUCGUUCAACUCAUUCUUCCAAAAGGUGUUCGUUUUCCGGCCGUGUCCCAUCGCAGAAAAACCACGGAACACCCCUAUCCGCCCUAAUAAUGCCCGGCGACGAGCUUCCUUUCCCUGAUGACCUGAUCAGAGGACGAAGAUCUUGGGGUUUUUUUAGAACAUCCUACUGGCGGCGGCGGCGAGCCAGCAAGACGUCCGCAGAACUUCCUGGGGGUCUACAGGCCCCAGGAAGUCAACCCAACGGCGGUGAAGCCGAGGGUAUCCAACCACUCGCGCCAUCCCGC
rnacentral:lncRNA from 1 species